UUUUCCUGCAAACAGGAAAACUGGUAUGAAAUAUCCAAGUCCAGGUAGGACAAAAUCAGGGUACUAAAAGGAGGUAGCAUGGAUUUCGUCCUUUCUGCAUUGAGAUGGCAAAGCCAAUUCAUUCAAAAUAUGUAGGAGGAGAAGAAUGGAAAGGCAGGUGUUUGUGAUUUGAGCAGCCAUGAAGUGAUUCCAAAGUAUCUGAUUUAUUCACAGCACCUUGCAUUAAACUCAAAGAGACAAAGAACUUCUCCUGACAUCUCCUCUCACCUCUCAGGGAAGUGGAAAAAGAGAUUUUUUUGCAGCAAAAUGUUAAAAGGAGGCAUUCAGGACACAGUUUGGUGAUGCCCUAGCUAGAAACAGGCUGCUGGGCUAGAGGGAUAGAGCAACCACUACCUGUGCUGGCUGAAGGACACUAGUUUCUCCUCCAGGCUUCUCAUCCCAUCUGAUUGCUUCCUCCCCUUGGAGAGGUCUCCUGUGGUCAGGGAAGGUAUUUUCUUACCACAUCACUCCAUUCUGCCUUGCUUUCCCUUUUGCAAGCUCUGUAGGUCUGGCUUGGAGGUGUAUGUGGCCUCUGCCAGCAACACCAAGGUUGAGCAGUCCUGACACCUUGCAGAUUGAACAUCAAAGGGUACUGGUGUAAGGACAAAUACCCAGUGCAGAUGGGAGUGAGGCUGCUAGGUGAGGUGGGCAGGAUCCAUGUGAACAGCUAUGAGAAAACUAAAGUAAUAAUGAAACAGGACAUCUAAACUCCAGGAAAGGCAUAGAUGCAUGACUAAGGACGGAAAAUAUACAACUUUCCCCAUGGAAGUGUUCUUUAAGCCAAAAAUCCAAAAUUAUUAUAUUGGCUAAAAACCAACCAAACAAUACAUCAUAACUUGUGAAGUUUCUUACAGCUACUCAAGACCAUUGCAGUGAAAUCAUUCACAGACCUAUUUUCUUCCACAGUCUGAACUUAAAAAUUGUCCCACAGUUUCUGUGAAGCACCAUGAGGGAAGACAUUUCCUCACAGACCUCAUAUUGUACCAGUCAUUAA
rnacentral:lncRNA from 1 species